ensembl:rRNA 5S_rRNA 5S ribosomal RNA
AUGGCUAUGCUACUCUGAGAACACCUGAUCUCAUCUGGAUUUGUCAACUUACCAGGUAGAGGCCUGGAUUGGACUGGAUGGCAGAUCACCUGGUAUUGUCAGGUGCUUUUCUAU